CCUCAUGAAAAACCCACAUCAUUAAUUACAAAGCUCUGCUUCAAUUUUUUGAUUCUGACUUUACAUUUGCACCAUUUAGUUUUUAUUUAAGGAAGUGUGAGGCAAUUCAGAUACUUUUGGAAACAAAUGCUCUGGACACCACCAGUUCUGCCUUCUGCAUGGAAUCCAUCUUAAAAGGUUUGGGCUUGGGCAGCUUCAGAAAGUUGAGUCAACAAGUUGUAGGAUAUUCCUAUGUGCUAGCCAAAGAUCUGGACAUUAUCAAACUGUAAAGAAACAAAAAAUCCCCAAAAUGUGGAUCUUCCACCUGUACUACCUAAGAGAAAGAAGAAGCCUUUUCUCAUUCCAAUAAAGAAGAUGACGCGGGCUACUAGGAAGGAUGAAAAACUUGCAGAAAGGCUAUAGAGAAGCCCCUGAAGCCUCCAGAGAAUGGAAUACUUAUUCCUCAAUUGGUCCCUGUUACUUAUGAAGUAUUAGAUGCCUGGAAAAGUUUGAACAAAGGCAUUGCACAUCUUUUUGCAUGUUAAUCUUGUUUAUGGUUGCAAUGAGUGCUUGGAAAUUCAUGCUGCCCAGAGUAGUCACCACAUUCAGAUCUGCCAUGGUGCAACCAGCCAAAUGCACAAUUGAUAAAGCACAAUUGGGAGUGAAAGAUGGUAUGCAUGAUGGUUUUUGUUGUUGGAAUUUUUUGAAUGAUGGGAAAGGAUUAACUAUUUUUAAUAGUUAAUUUUCCAAUCAUCUAGGUAUUAUAAUGUAAAAAUGAUUGAUGCAUAUUUGUUAGGCAUAUAUAAAGUUUUUUGUAUAAGAAGGUUUAUACGUUACA